rnacentral:rRNA from 1 species
UACAGAGGGUGCGAGCGUUAAUCGGAAUUACUGGGCGUAAAGCGUGCGCAGACGGUUGCGUAAGUCAGAUGUGAAAGCCCCGGGCUCAACCUGGGAAUUGCAUUUGAGACUGCGUAGCUAGGGUGCGGAAGAGGGAAGCGGAAUUUCCGGUGUAGCGGUGAAAUGCGUGGAUAUCGGAAGGAACACCAGUGGCGAAAGCGGCUUCCUGGUCCAGCACCGACGUUCAGGCACGAAAGCGUGGGGAGCAAACAGG